rnacentral:rRNA from 1 species
UGGUGGAGUGAUUUGUCUGGUUAAUUCCGUUAACGAACGAGACCUCAGCCUGCUAACUAGUCCAACAAACACUUAUGUGUUUGCUUUUGGAGCUUCUUAGAGGGACUGUCUGUAUACAGCAGAAGGAGGUUUGAGGCAAUAACA